UGGGUCCCGGUUCGUGAAUGAACCGGGACUAAUGAGAUUUCAUCAAGUGGACCAAAGCCCUCUUUUCUGCUAGUGUUAUUAGAGUUUUACAGAUUGCAUUGUUCAGAUUGAUGUGUUAUGUACGCUUGUAGUAUUAUUUUUAGCAACAUACAGGGAAUUUUUUUGAUCUUUGGAUAUAUAUGGGAUUGACAUUAAAAUGUUGAAUUCCGAAAUUGUUACAUAAGGAACUACCAGCAUAAGUUAGUUUUCAAGUUUGGAAGUGUUAUCACCCCGUAUUGCAUGUGCAUUGUUUUUUUAAGGGAAAAGCCUCUUUGUAUUUUAUUUCUCGGCUAAAAGAGUUACAUCAUUUAUUACAUAAGGAAGAAUAAAAUUGGAUGGAUCGUCAUCCCAUUCAAAAGCAAACUGUGUACCAUAAGAGUGUUUUGCCAGAUGGUGAGCAACUCGAUUUGCUUCCCGUGGACUGUGUUUGAAAGACAUUCUGUUGAUCAUCUUUGCUCUUGCAAAACAAUCAGCUAAGGUCGCAGUGUAAGGAUAAAAGAUUUCCAGCUCCCAAAGAAUCAGACUCGUAAGUGAUAUUGAUGUAGCACAACUUCUCAACUAGCUUUAGUCCUUUUAGCAUGG
rnacentral:lncRNA from 1 species